GAUGAAGAACGUAGCGAAAUGCGAUAAGUAAUGUGAAUUGCAGAAUUCAGUGAAUCAUCGAAUCUUUGAACGCACAUUGCGCCCGCCAGUAGUCUGGCGGGCAUGCCUGUUCGAGCGUCAUUACAACCCUCAGGCCCCCGGGCCUGGCGUUGGGGAUCGGCGGAGCCCCCCGUGGGCACACGCCGUCCCCCAAAUACAGUGGCGGUCCCGCCGCAGCUUCCAUCGCGUAGUAGCUAACACCUCGCGACUGGAGAGCGGCGCGGCCACGCCGUAAAACACCCAACUCUUCUGAAGUUGACCUCGAAUCAGGUAGGAAUACCCGCUGAACUUAAGCAUAUCAAUAAGCGGAGGA
rnacentral:misc_RNA from 1 species